rnacentral:rRNA from 1 species
GACGAACGCUGGCGGCGUGCCUAAUACAUGCAAGUCGAACGCAGUGGGGACGGGUGAGUAACACGUGGGUAACCUCCCAUCAGAGGGGAUAACACUUGGAAACAGGUGCUAAACCGAUACUGAUGGAUGAACUCGCGGUGCAUUAGCUGGUUGGUGAGGUAACGGCUCACCAAGGCCACGAUGCAUAGCCGACCUGAGAGGGUGAUGGGCAACACUGGGUCGAUGACACGCCCCAGACUCCUACGGGAGACACACGUAGGGAAUCUUCGGCAAUGGACGUAAGUCUGACCGAGCAACGCCGCGUGAGUGAAGAGGGUUUUCGGAUCGUAAACCUCUGUUGUUAGAGAAGCGGUAUCUAACCAGAAAGCCACGGCUAACUACGUGCCAGCAGCCGCGGUAAUUC